GAUGAACGCUGGCGGCGUGCCUAACACAUGCAAGUUGAGCGUGAAGUUUAUAUUGAUUCUUCGGAUGAUUUAUAAAUGGAAAGCAGCGGACGGGUGAGUAACGCGUGGAUAACCUGCCCUAUACUCCAGGAUAACAUACCGAAAGGUAUGCUAAUACUGGAUAAUAUACGAUUAGUCGCAUGGCUUUUUGAUCAAAGUUACGGAUAGGAUGGAUCCGGUUCCAUUAGCUAGUGUGGGUAAGCCUACCAAGGCACGAUGGAUAGCCGACCUGAGAGGGU
rnacentral:rRNA from 1 species